rnacentral:rRNA from 1 species
ACCAACGGCCAUACCAUGUUGAAUACACCGGUUCUCGUACGAUCACCGAAGUUAAACAACAUUGGGCGUGGUUAGUAACUGGAUGGGUGACCGCCUGGGAAUACCGCGUGCUGUUGGCA